rnacentral:rRNA from 1 species
UACGAAGGGGGCUGCGUUGUUCGGAAUCACUGGGCGUAAAGGGCGCGUAGGCGGCCAUAUAAGUCGGGGGUGAAAGCCUGUGGCUCAACCACAGAAUUGCCUUCGAUACUGGUUGGCUUGAGACCGGAAGAGGACAGCGGAACUGCGAGUGUAGAGGUGAAAUUCGUAGAUAUUCGCAAGAACACCAGUGGCGAAGGCGGCUGUCUGGUCCGGUUCUGACGCUGAGGCGCGAAAGCGUGGGGAGCAAACAGG